CCCCGCUCCUCUGUCCUGUCCGACAUCUGACCAACUCCCUCACUCCCUGGGUAUUAAGGCAACCCCAGUGGUUUGCUGUGCUGAAAGCACCAUACAAGCCACUUCCUAUAAUCCUCUCUGCAAACCUCCCAGGCCGGGAGGGUGGGAGAACAGGUUCAAACUGGGGCCGUAACUUGUGCAAGGAGCUGACAUUCGAACCCAGCUCGGCCGGACCGCAAGACCACUGUGUGCUUUCCCCCACAUUGUCACACUGAGUGCGGCUGGGUGGAGCCUUUGGGGAUCGUUGACAGAGACUGAGACACAGAGAAAGAAAUAACUGGUGGGGAGAAAAGAGAUGCCAUGAUGUACGAAGACGGACCACGACUCCUUCUCUGCUCCUUCCCAGGGUAACCUCCUUGAGGACAGAGAUUGGGGGCCUCAAUAAGGCAGUUCAGUUCUGGAAUCCUCAAUUUUCUUCAUCUGUAAAAUGUGGGUGAUACCACCCACUCACCGAAGGUCUGUUCUGAAGCUCAGCAAGGGCUCAGUGGAGACAAAGCCCAGGUGGCCCAACAUAUGAGGAGUCAAGAGCAAAGGACAGAACUGAGGGGCAGAAAGAAGAGAGAAACCCUUCAGACGGGGAAUCAGAAACUGGGGCCCAGCAAGACGUCAAUGCUCCAGCAGGUCAUGGGUGUGAGCAAGACCAGGAGCCAAAGGGAAGCCCUAGAGACAGGGGCUGGAAAUGGAGACCCUGCUUGGCUUGAGCUGGAGGCCAUCCAUCUUCCAGCUGUUGGCAAGACACGAAGCUGGGCUUGUCAUGGCCGAGAAGCCAGAGACUGGUAGAAACUGUAAAACCUCCUUUGGAAGUAGCUGCCUGUGGUGCUGGCUCAGUCUUGGACAUCUCCUUCUGGAAUGUUCUGCAGUGCAUUAUAAGGCUGCCCAGAGACCAGGAGGGAGAGAUGGGCGCCACGCCUUGAUGGCAGAGCUACAGAUUCCUGGUGUAAGGGGCAUGGAUGCAGAACGUCUGGACAACUUGGACCAUUUUUGCUGUUUCCCUUGGUGCUGCUCUGAAAUAUUCUGCUUCUAUUUCCUCCUCGUUCUUCAGGGCUGUAUGAGCUGCUUGGGUCAAUGACAUGAAGUGAGACAGGGCAGCCGGAUUCAGAGAAGGGACCCCACCUGCGUGAAGUCACACCGCCUGGAGUGGCCUCCAGGUGCCCUGGACUCGCUGAGCUCGCGUUCAGCCUCUCCCUGGAAUGCUCCCCCACCAGCCCCGAAGUUCUCCUUUUACAGAUGGGCAAGCGGGCGCUGCCCACGGAAUGUUUCUUUGUCGGAUUGGGAACAAAACAAUAAAACAACAUGUUAUGCAGACUCUUGUUUUGCUCACAAGCUGAGGUCUCCCAGGACAGGGCUUGCUGGGUCCCUCGGAGUUGCUGAUUCUGGGCAUGAAGUUCCUGUUUGGAACUUGAGGUCACCGAAAGCCGGGGAAGAGGAGAAACGUGUUCCUGCUCUGGGUCCGGGCUGGAAUAAGGGCGUCUUCCUCCAGCCCCUGGGGAGGAAUCCUGGGCUUGUGAUCCUUGAUUCCAAAGCUACUUCUACUCCAAGAGUCACUUCAGCGGGGCAGGUCACAGGUGCUCUGUGGUCUGGCAAAAUUGCCUUCGUACCAGAGUACCCUCUUCCCCACGGUGUGACCUCAGGCGGGUUGCUUGGUCUCUCUGUGCUCUGUGUCUCCGGCAUGCUCGGCCCAGGGGUACGCGGGAGUGAAGUCCCCUCCUGCCUUCCAGGAGCGCU